CCUACGGGAGGCAGCAGUCAGGAAUAUUGCGCAAUGGAGGAAACUCUGACGCAGCGACGCCGCGUGGGUGAUGAAGGCCUUCGGGUCGUAAAACUCUGUUAUUAGGGAAGAAC
rnacentral:rRNA from 1 species